rnacentral:rRNA from 1 species
GGGAUAUUGGACAAUGGGCGCAAGCCUGAUCCAGCCAUGCCGCGUGAGUGAUGAAGGCCCUAGGGUUGUAAAGCUCUUUUGUGCGGGAAGAUAAUGACGGUACCGCAAGAAUAAGCCCCGGCUAACUUCGUGCCAGCGGCCGCGGUAAUACGAAGGGGGCUAGCGUUGCUCGGAAUCACUGGGCGUAAAGGGUGCGUAGGCGGGUCUUUAAGUCAGGGGUGAAAUCCUGGAGCUCAACUCCAGAACUGCCUUUGAUACUGAAGAUCUUGAGUUCGGGAGAGGUGAGUGGAACUGCGAGUGUAGAGGUGAAAUUCGUAGAUAUUCGCAAGAACACCAGUGGCGAAGGCGGCUCACUGGCCCGAUACUGACGCUGAGGCACGAAAGCGUGGGGAGCAAAC